AUUAAAAGGCUUAACUGAGGUAGGGCACAGCAGGAAUUAUCCUGCUCAAAAUCUGGAUUAGCCCCACUGGGGAAGUAACUCGACCUUAGAGUAGAUCACAGGUAAAUAAUA